rnacentral:rRNA from 1 species
CCUACGGGAGGCUGCAGUGGGGAAUAUUGGACAAUGGGGGGAACCCUGAUCCAGCGACGCCGCGUGAGUGAAGAAGUAUUUCGGUAUGUAAAGCUCUAUCAGCAGGGAAGAAAGAAAUGACGGUACCUGACUAAGAAGCCCCGGCUAACUACGUGCCAGCAGCCGCGGUAAUACGUAGGGGGCAAGCGUUAUCCGGAUGUACUGGGUGUAAAGGGAGCGUAGACGGCGAUGCAAGUCUGAAGUGAAAGGCGGGGGCUCAACCCCCGGACUGCUUUGGAAACUGUAUGGCUGGAGUGCAGGAGAGGUAAGUGGAAUUCCUGGUGUAGCGGUGAAAUGCGUAGAUAUUAGGAGGAACACCAGUGGCGAAGGCGGCUUACUGGACUGUAACUGACGUUGAGGCUCGAAAGCGUGGGGAGCAAACAGGAUUAGAUACCCGGGUAGUC